UACGUAGGGUGCGAGCGUUAAUCGGAAUUACUGGGCGUAAAGCGUGCGCAGGCGGUUUUGUAAGUCUGUCGUGAAAUCCCCGGGCUUAACCUGGGAAUUGCGAUGGAGACUGCAAGGCUAGAAUCUGGCAGAGGGGGGUAGAAUUCCACGUGUAGCAGUGAAAUGCGUAGAGAUGUGGAGGAACACCGAUGGCGAAGGCAGCCCCCUGGGUCAAGAUUGACGCUGAUGCACGAAAGCGUGGGGAGCAAACAGG
rnacentral:rRNA from 1 species